rnacentral:lncRNA from 1 species
UGUGAACAAUAAAUUAAACCAAAGCUAAAUAUUACUAGAAUAUUCUAGACUAUUCUAAAAUAGUCUAGAAUGAGCUAGAAUGUUCUAGAAGGUUCGAGAACAUUAUGGAGUUCUCUAGAAUAUUCUAGAAGAUGAUUUAAACUCUUUUAUGUAUAGUAGAGAAUGUGAGAAUAUUCUAGAGUAGUGGAAUAUUCUAGAACAUAUGAGAAUAGGUAGAUAUGAAUAUUGUUUAGGAUNN